rnacentral:rRNA from 1 species
CCUACGGGUGGCAGCAGUGGGGAAUAUUGGACAAUGGGGGCAACCCUGAUCCAGCCAUGCCGCGUGUGUGAAGAAGGCCCUCGGGUUGUAAAGCACUUUCAGUGAGGAAGAACGCCUGGUGGUUAAUACCCAUCAGGAAAGACAUCACUCACAGAAGAAGCACCGGCUAACUCCGUGCCAGCAGCCGCGGUAAUACGGAGGGUGCGAGCGUUAAUCGGAAUUACUGGGCGUAAAGCGCGCGCAGGUGGCUUGAUAAGCCGGUUGUGAAAGCCCCGGGCUCAACCUGGGAACGGCAUCCGGAACUGUCAAGCUAGAGUGCAGGAGAGGAAGGUAGAACUCCCGGUGUAGCGGUGAAAUGCGUAGAGAUCGGGAGGAAUACCAGUGGCGAAGGCGGCCUUCUGGACUGACACUGACACUGAGGUGCGAAAGCGUGGGUAGCAAACAGGAUUAGAUACCCCAGUAGUC